rnacentral:rRNA from 1 species
GACAGGAGGGUGCAAACGUUGUUCGGAAUUACUGGGCGUAAAGCGCGUGUAGGCGGCCAUCUAAGUCGGGCGUGAAAUCCCACGGCUCAACCGUCGGAAGUGCACUCGAAACUGGAUGGCUAGAGUCCUGGAGAGGAAGGUGGAAUGACUUGGUGUAGAGGUGAAAUUCGUAGAUAUCAAGCGGGAACACCGGUGGCGAAGGACGGCCUUUCUGGACAGUGACUGACGCUGAGACGCGAAAGCGUGGGGAGCAAACAGGG